UACCAUCCACCAGAAUCCUUCUCUGAGGUGCACUUUGAACUUGAGAUGCAGUUUGCUACCAAAAAGGAUUUCAUGGAUGCUAUCAAACUCUACUCUAUUUUCAAAGGGGUUCAAGCCAUAUAGAACCUACUAAUGGGACAGCACCUCCAUCACAACCAAGCCAUGGAGCAUAUGCAAGCCAGCAUAGUCAAAAAAUACCUGUUAGGAAAAGAAAUGUCACAACACAAAGUCAGCCAACACCCCAAUGUGAAGGAGUCCAUCAAAGUCAACCAGUAUCUCAGGUUGGACCCAACGAAGUUACCAGAAGUUACAGUUUUGGAGUAUCAGUAGAGACAAUGGCUGCUGCAAGUGAGACAUCCAGAAGAAUUACAAAAUUUUAUAAGAAUGCACAACUGCAAAAGUGAACAGCGAAUGAUAUUUGUUGUGGUUAAAUGUGCAGAAGUGAAGGUGCUU